CCUACGGGGGGCAGCAGUAGGGAAUAUUGCUCAAUGGGGGAAACCCUGAAGCAGCAACGCCGCGUGGAGGAUGAAGGUUUUCGGAUUGUAAACUCCUUUUGUUAGAGAAGAUAAUGACGGUAUCUAACGAAUAAGCACCGGCUAACUCCGUGCCAGCAGCCGCGGUAAUACGGAGGGUGCAAGCGUUACUCGGAAUCACUGGGCGUAAAGAGCGCGUAGGCGGGAUAGCAAGUCAGAUGUGAAAUCCUAUGGCUUAACCUUAGAACUGCAUUUGAAACUGUUAGUCUAGAGUAUGGGAGAGGUAGGUGGAAUUCUUGGUGUAGGAGUAAAAUGCGUAGAGAUCAAGAGGAAUACUCAUUGCGAAGGCGACCUGCUAGAACAUAACUGACGCUGAUGCGCGAAAGCGUGGGGAGCAAACAGGAUUAGAUACCCCUGUAGUC
rnacentral:rRNA from 1 species